UGCCACCUCUCCUGUGCUAUUUAAACAGCCCUCCCUCCCCCCACUGGCCAGCUGGCUGCCUCUGCAACAUGCUGCAGGUUGUUCAGGAGUUCUUCAAGAAGCUGAGCCGAAAGUGUGAGCUGUGCCACGACUGUGCAGAAGGCCCAUCCGCCCCUCGGAGGACUCAGAAGCCUGUUAAAUGCAUCACCUCCCUCAGCACGCAUUAUGGGAAUGGGGGCUUUUUGGUGCACCGGAAAUUUGAUCUCAUGGCUGAUUUAUUCUCCUACCUGGUCUUUGUUUUUUAAAAAGGCUUUGUUGUCCCUCUGGCUCUGGUUGGGCACACAGAAAGUGUCCCAUUUCAGUAGGCCUCUUGUCUUGGGAGGCCUGAUGUAAAGAAAGAUCUCUUUGGAAGGCAAAUGAUUCUGAGCUCCAUGCUGCAUUGCUUUGAGAUCGCUUUGUUUUAUGAUGGAAAAGGCUACCUGACUGCUGACAUCACAACAACUAUUUCAGAUUGGUUGAAUGUUGACCUUGUGCUCAGUGCUUGGACAUAGUGCAGUUUCACAUAUCAUUAUCAAGUCCUCAUACACAAUAAACCCACAACUCAUAUCCCA